rnacentral:misc_RNA from 1 species
UGGUUUUUGGUCUGUAACGGGUGGUUGGAUGUCUGCUUGCGCAGCAACUUCUAUGCGUUCUUACCUCUUCAGUGUUGUUUCAUGGCGGUUUUGCCAUGAACAUAAGUGGGUUCCUGUGUUGCAUACCUAAGUGAUGGCAUUUUGUUGCUUGAACAGGUUUACCUUUCGUUAGGCGUCGCUUGCGGCGCCAAUGAACCUCGAAGCGGUCUUUAUGGUCCAUCUUGUUGUUGCUUAUGGCCCUAUAGAUAGUCGCUUGGUUUCUUGGGUAUGGAACAUGGUGUGGGCACAUGGUUAUUCAUGAUCAUGUCUUUUGCCCUACAAGAGCGUUUCGCUUCUCUAGACGACGGUUUUCUUGCAUUGACUUGUUCGUGCAAGGUAGGCCAUGUCGAAAAGGAAUGCUACCUGGU